CAAGGUGACGACUGUUGCUGACUGCAGGAGACUCUGUACUGAAGAUCCCACCUGCCAAUACUUCACAUUUUAUACAGACAAUAAAAACUGUUUCCUGAUGACAUCAAGAGAUGACAUGUUGAUACAACUUCAUUCAUAUGCUGUCUCAGGGAACAACUGUGGUCUCCGGUUCUACCCGGAACACAAAAGCUGGAUUGAUGCCCUGCAGCACUGCCAAAACGAGAAGUCCACCCUGGUCCAAAUCACCAACCAGACAGUGCAGGACGCAGUGAACUCUGUCCUACAAAAUAAGAGUGGCUUGGAUGGUGGAGUGUGGAUCGGCCUGGAGCGCUCCAUCUUUGGUGUAAACGUCCCCUGGCAGUGGAUUUCAGGGGAAAGAGUAAAGGA